CCUUCUGAAAGGAAGAUUAAUACAAGAUGGCUCCGCAUGUUUAAAGGUAUUCGGUAGACGAUGGGGAUGCGUUCCAUUAGAUAGUAGGCGGGGUAACGGCCCACCUAGUCUUCGAUGGAUAGGGGUUCUGAGAGGAAGGUCCCCCACAUUGGAACUGAGACACGAUCCAACCCUUACGGGAGGCAGCAGUGAGGAAUAUUGGUCAAUGGGCGAGAGCCUGAACCAGCCAAGUAGCGUGAAGGAUGACUGCCUAUGGGUUGUAAACUUCUUUUAUAAAGGAAUAAGUCGGGUAUGGAUACCCGUUUGCAUGUACUUUAUGAAUAAGGAUCGACUAACUCCGUGCCAGCAGCCGCGGUAAUACGGAGGAUCCGAGCGUUAUCCGGAUUUAUUGGGUUUAAAGGGAGCGUAGAUGGAUGUUUAAGUCAGUUGUGAAAGUUUGCGGCUCAACCGUAAAAUUGCAGUUGAUACUGGAUAUCUUGAGUGUAGUUGAGGCAGGCGGAAUUCGUGGUGUAGCGGUGAAAUGCUUAGAUAUCACGAAGAACUCCGAUUGCGAAGGCAG
rnacentral:rRNA from 1 species